rnacentral:rRNA from 1 species
UACGUAGGGUGCAAGCGUUGUCCGGAAUUACUGGGCGUAAAGCGCACGUAGGCGGGUCGUUAAGUCAGGGGUGAAAUCCCGGAGCUCAACUCCGGAACUGCCUUUGAUACUGGCGAUCUUGAGAUCGGAAGAGGUGAGUGGAAUUCCCAGUGUAGAGGUGAAAUUCGUAGAUAUUGGGAAGAACACCAGUGGCGAAGGCGGCUCACUGGUCCGAUACUGACGCUGAGGUGCGAAAGCGUGGGGAGCAAACAGG